CCGAGUUUACAUAACUGCCGCAAACCCAAUGUGAACAUACCUCAAGUUGCUUCGGCGGGAACGCCCGCGGCGCGCCCUUCGCGACCCUCCCGCCCGCGGGGGGAUCGGGGAGGCCUAGCCCGGACGGCCAGGGCGCCCGCCGGAGGUACCCAAACUCUUGUCUUCAGUAUAUUCUUCUGAGUGGCAAACGGCAAAGAUAAAAUCA
rnacentral:misc_RNA from 1 species